rfam:Fomitiporia mediterranea MF3/22 unplaced genomic scaffold FOMMEscaffold_5, whole genome shotgun sequence.
GGUUCUAUAGUGUAGCGGUUAUCACACAGGAUUCUGACUAGUAAUGUUCCUGUAACCCCGGUUCGAUUCCGGGUAGGACCU